UUUUGCCUUUGCUGACUGCUGAUCUGAUCGUCUCAAGUCUGGUGACCUGCUGCAGAAAACCCUCUCCCUCUAUCGUUGACAAGCAAUUAACAAGCAAUUUCAGUCUGUCCUAUCACUCUCC